ACAACAUAAGGAGUAUAUAUUAUAAUUUUGCAUCACGUAGAUGAUGGGAACAUCCUAAUGAGAGCAGCUCAUGCCAUAGUCACUACUGGCGUAGGCAAUAAAGGCUUUCUAGCCGUUGAGCCACCACAAGCCAUGGCUGAAUGUGUGGUGAGGUGACCUGGAAAUGAACCAGUGAGAACCUCCCUGGGAUGUUUAACCUUGCAGAUUGUGAAGAAAAACGAUGUGGCUCUUUCUCUGUUUUUUGUUUGCCUUUUUUUUUUUUUUUUUAAAGAAAAAUGUCAUGCUGACUUACUGAUAUGAAUACAGAGAUUGUUGUGGACAGGUCUCUUGUGCCUUGUACCAAACUAAGAGAAGGAUUGGCUUGCUAAACGUUUAAGUAGAUUUAUAAAAUCAUCAUUUGUAAUGGGGCUGUCCAGAAAUGGUUAACUAGAGUUCAGUCACGGAGCAUAUCAUAUACGAUGUUAUCUAAUAACAAAAAUGAGCCUUUUUGUCCUUCUUAAUUAUGAACCGAGUUAUUAGGAGUAGAAUAAGUUGUUUGUUAAAGACAUGACAUCAAAUACACUUGAAAGCCUGGCCUUUGAAAUGACAGUUCAUUGAUGACCUUUAUUUCUUUAGCAUUUCUUAAGAAUUUUCUUGUUCAUUUCCUGCAACUUAAUGUUAGUUAAAUGCAUUUAAGGAAUGUCUUUGCAUAUAUUGUCAGAGACUCUUGAAAGCUAUCUUUCUAACUUGAACAUAAUUUUCGGUUUUGGAAUCCCUUUCUCUCCCUCGUGGGCUUCCUAGGAGAUUUAAGAGGAUAUUUUUAACCCAAUAUCUCUUAAAAUUAUUAGCCAUUACCGCCUUCUGAGUUGUGAUUUGUGGUUGUUGUUUUGUUUUCCUUUUUUUAUAACUUUUUAAAACGUGGUCAACGUUCAGUGUUGUCAUAUGUUUUUAAUAAAAGCACCUUUCUGUUUCUAUUGUCUGCUUGGAGGCUGGGGUAUGGCCAUUUCUCAUUCUCCUGAUUCACGGAAGAUGUUGAUCAGAACUGAAGCCAGGAGCCAGACCGCUAGGUCCUUUGAUGCCCUGGAGCCCUCAGUAGCCAUGUCAGGGAGUUUCUGCUCAAGCCAGGUGACUUAGCCCAGGAUAACAGUAGAUUCUGAGAUGAGUGAGAAUUGUUCCACACGUGGCCACAGUCAUUCCUCUGGCACAGUGGACUUGGGUUCAGGAGGUCUGUCUCUCUUCAAGGAUCAUGAACUGAAAUUGCUAAACUUUGGGAGUUUUCAGUGACACCCUUCAAAGUGCUCACGGUGUGACAUGGAUCAGCUGAGAAGGGUGGAUGCGCUUUUGCCCUGUGAGGCAUCUGUCUGUGUAACUUUCUCCGAGCCAGGCCACAAGGGGCGCUUAGGCCCGCAGACGCGCACUGUGAUUGGUUGACGAGAUGCCAAGCAACGGGACCAUCCAGUCACCUUCAACGCAGGUAGGUUUGCUGAGAGACUCCCUGUGUGACACUUCAUCCAAUCAGAAGUGAAGCUGGCCCGAGACUUGGCGCCAUACUGCGUACCCAAGUGCCCCCGCUUCUCCGAUCCACAACCGCUAUUGUCUGGUCGUGCGGUGUAAUGGCCGCUGCAUCCGUCAUGGCUGAACCUUCCUCUGAGACGACCUCUGAGGAACAGCUGAUCACCCAGGAGCCCAAAGAGGCCGACUCCACGAUGGCCCAAAAGCAGAGCAAGCAGAGGAAGCGAGGGCGCCGUGGGCCCUGCAGGUGCCACGCCAACUGCCGCGGGGACAGCUUCGCCACCUAUUUCCGCCGGGUGCUGAAGCAGGUUCACCAGGGCCUCAGCCUUUCCCGGGAGGCCGUGAGUGUCAUGGAUUCUUUGGUCCAUGACAUACUGGACCGCAUCGCCACCGAGGCUGGUCGCCUGGCCCGCUCCACCAAGCGCCAGACCAUCACUGCCUGGGAGACCCGGAUCGCUGUGCGCCUGCUGCUGCCGGGGGAGAUGGGCAAACUGGCAGAGUCCGAAGGCACGAAGGCUGUCCUCAGAACUUCACUAUAUGCCAUACAGCAACAGAGAAAGUGAAUAGGCUGAUACAAGAAGCAAGGUAACCUUCCUAAACCUUUUCAACACCUCUCCCAUCGCGAAUCCAUAAUAUUAGAAAAGUGUUAUGAAAGUAGUUGAAGAGAAAUGCUCACUGCACAAGUGGACCAAGAAAACCCCCCAUGAAGACAGCAACAACUAAAUCGUUCUGGACGGUGCCGCCAGGUGAUCCUACAUGUCUGGAGCAACACUUUGAAAACCAAAGACACUUGGCAGAACCCUGUUCCUAUCCAGAAACAGAGCUGUGUACCUGGUCCAAAGCACCACAUCUCACUGAGUGACUUAUUUCUCAUUAUGCUAAUUGUUUUGCUUUAAAGCGCCAAUCUUUCUGUCAAAUGGGAUGUACAAAUAAAUUUCUAAGUUAUCCUUGCA